rnacentral:rRNA from 1 species
AUCUUUUGAUUCUGGCUCAGGAUGAACGCUGGCGGCAUGCCUAACACAUGCAAGUUGAACGAAGAUUUUAGAGCUUGCUUUAAAAAGACUGAGUAGCGGACGGGUGAGUAAUGCUCAAGAAUCUGCCCCUAGGAAAAGGACACUAACCCGAAAGGGUCUCGAAUACUUUAUAAGCUGAGAAGUUAAAUGGAUUAAUCUCCGCCUAGGGAUGAGCUUGAGUCUGAUUAGCUUGUUGGUGGGGUAAAGGCUUACCAAGGCGACAAUCAGUAGUUGGUCUGAGAGGAUGACCAGCCACAUUGGGACUGAGACACGGCCCAGACUUCUACGGAAGGCAGCAGUGAGGAAUUUUCCGCAAUGGGCGAAAGCCUGACGGAGCAAUGCCGCGUGAAGGAUGACGGCCUGCGGGUUGUAAACUUCUUUUCUUAGAGAAGAAACUGACGGUAUCUAAGGAAUAAGCAUCGGCUAACCCCGUGCCAGCAGCCGCGGUAAUACGGGGGAUGCAAGCGUUAUCCGGAAUGAUUGGGCGUAAAGCGUCUGCAGGUGGUUUAAAAAGUCUAGUGUCAAAGCCCAAGGCUUAACCUUGGAUCGGCAAUGGAAACUUUUAGACUAGAGUGCGGUUGAGGUAGAUGGAAUUACCGGUGUAACGGUGAAAUGUGCAGAUAUCGGUAAGAACACCAACGGCGAAAGCAAUCUACUGGGCCAAAACUGACACUGAGAGACGAAAGCUAGGGGAGCGAAUAGGAUUAGAUACCCUAGUAGUCCUAGCUGUAAACGAUGGAAACUAAGUAUUGAGCGUAAGAGCAGUACUGUAGCUAACGCGUUAAGUUUCCCGCCUGGGAAGUAUGCUCGCAAGAGUGAAACUCAAAGAAAUUGACGGGGGCCCGCACAAGCGGUGGAGCAUGUGGUUUAAUUCGAUACAACGCGAAGAACCUUACCAGGGUUUGACAUGAUACGAAUUUCUUUGAAAGAAG